rfam:Schistosoma mattheei strain Denwood, Zambia genome assembly, scaffold: SMTD_scaffold0015473
GCACUGCUGAGGAGUCUCAUACUGAGACGAAACGGUCGUCCAGUGC